rnacentral:rRNA from 1 species
GGAUAACCUGCCCUAAGGAAGGGGAUAACCUCGGGAAACUGAGGAUAAUACCCUAUAGGAUACCGAUGCUGGAAUGCCCGGUAUCCCAAAGCUCCGGCGCCUUAGGAUGGAUCUGCGGCCGAUUAGGUCGUUGUUGGGGUAACGGCCCAACAAGCCGAUAAUCGGUACGGGUUGUGGGAGCAAGAGCCCGGAGUUGGAUUCUGAGACACGAAUCCAGGCCCUACGGGGCGCAGCAGGCGCGAAAACUUUACAAUGCGGGCAACCGUGAUAAGGGAACCUCGAGUGCCUGUACAUGCAGGCUGUCUGGGUGUCUAAAACACACCCAAAGAAAGGGCCGGGCAAGACCGGUGCCAGCCGCCGCGGUAAUACCGGCGGCUCGAGUGGUGGCCACUUUUAUUGGGCUUAAAGCGUUCGUAGCUGGGUUGUUAAGUCUCUUGGGAAAUCUGGCAGCUUAACUGUCAGGCGUCUAAGAGAUACUGGCAAUCUAGGAACCGGGAGAGGUGAGGGGUACUUCGGGGGUAGGAGUGAAAUCCUGUAAUCCUCGAGGGACCACCUGUGGCGAAGGCGCCUCACCAGAACGGCUUCGACAGUGAGGGACGAAAGCUGGGGGAGCAAACCGGAUUAGAUACCCGGGUAGUCCCAGCCGUAAACGAUGCGCGUUAGGUGUGUCGAUGACCACGAGUCAUCGAGGUGCCGAAGGGAAACCGUGAAACGCGCCGCCUGGGAAGUACGGUCGCAAGGCUGAAACU